AGGAAUAGCUAGAUGAUCCGGGAAGUUGCUUACUGAGGCUUUGUCAUGAGGCAUCAGUUACUUUGCUGUGCCAAAGUGAUCUUGAUGGGUUACUGUGAGAGGAGCCCAAGGAAGAGCUUUGAUGAUUCUUAAACCAAAUUCUCGAGUGCUAUCGGGUACAUUCUGACAGGCCCUGCAGUCUUCGUGGUUGUAGUUUUCUUGGGUGGCAGGGCUGACCCCUGGCAGUGGCACGAUUCACUCUGGAAUGCAUUCAGAGCCAUUGGAGAUCAUGCUGCCCUAAGUAAAUCACUGUCACUGAGGAAGGGCAUGUUGUUUAUAAACACCCAGAUUCCAGAUAUGAAAUAUUUUAUCUCCAACUCUAUUGGAAAAAAUUAUAAUCUAAAAUGAUUAUUAAUUAAAACAACUCAGAUGUCUCUUGACACUGAGAAGCACAGAUGAUUAGACCUGGCUGUUGCCCUGCUGAUAUCCUGGGAUGUACUUGGUCAGUGACCCUAGAGUUGGGCAUAUUGCAUGCACUAAGCCUGUACUUGUCUGCUCAACCUUCCACCCUGGGCAGCUUUUGAGGAUCUCUAUUGUAUCCUCUGUUCCAGCCCUAAGCAACUGUGCUGCCAUCACUCCUUUCUUUACCAGUCCUGGCACCAACUUUGAGCUCUUGGAGGGCAGAGACCUUAUUACUAGUCUGUAUCUCCAGCCCUGAGGAUGGGAAUGAGGGUGAGGAUGGUGUACCCAGCAAGUUGCAGACACUCACUGUGAGCUUGGUGAAUGAAUAUGAUGUUGCAAUAACUUGAUACAGUGUUGUGUUGUGUUUUGCUUGGAUGAAAUUUUAGAGUUAAUAGGCGUGCGAUGGGGGUGUGGCUCGCUUCUUCACUGCCUUGUUGCUCAAACCUCUAGGGGAGCAUACAGAUGGGCAGGCUGUGGGGCUCUGACUCCAUGGCGGUGUCUAGGGGUGAAUGUUUACAGCUCCUGAAGCCCUUGUGGGUGUGUGUUACAGGGUGCUCCUUUAGUUUGUCAUCUGUAGGCAGCUUGUGUUAGCU
rnacentral:lncRNA from 1 species